UGGGGAAUUUUGCGCAAUGGGCGAAAGCCUGACGCAGCAACGCCGCGUGCGGGAUGAAGGCCUUCGGGUUGUAAACCGCUUUCAGCAGGGGUGAAACUGACAGUACCUGCAGAAGAAGCCCCGGCUAACUACGUGCCAGCAGCCGCGGUAAUACGUAGGGGGCAAGCGUUAUCCGGAUUCAUUGGGCGUAAAGAGCGCGUAGGCGGCUUGUUAAGCGAGAUGUGAAAACCGGGGGCUUAACCCGCGGCCUGCAUCUCGAACUGGCAGGCUUGAGUUUGGUAGAGGAGUGUGGAAUUCCCAGUGUAGCGGUGAAAUGCGCAGAUAUUGGGAGGAACACCAGUGGCGAAGGCGGCACUCUGGGCCACGACUGACGCUGAGGCGCGAAAGCUAGGGGAGCAAACA
rnacentral:rRNA from 1 species